UGCUCUCUUCAAUCCAAAGAAAUAUUAGAAGGUUAAAACUUAUCACAUAGGAGGGAUUAAUCACCCUCCCAAGUUAGAAAGCCUGAAGCUCCAAGAGACUCUGUUGUCAAAACUGGAUGGUCAUGGCACUUAAGCUAUUGGGAAUACAGGAUGCUACUGCACCACUUAAAAAUGGAAACUCAUGUCUGUAGAAACCCUUGAUAUGUGAAGCUCCCUAUGGCUGGGGUUCUUUCCUGGUUGGUUAAGGGCACCACUUUCAGAUAAAACAUAGACCUGAAUGGCAUCAUCCAGUAUCCAAGGAAACCAUAAGACUCUCGGAUGGUGCUUCUAGAAGGAAGUCUGACCUGAGGAAUUGGACAUCAUUUUAAACAGUGGGCAGAGCUUUACCCUUCAUAAAAGCACCGGCAAGCGGAAAGAAAUGACAGUAAGACUGAAUUAUGAACUUUAAAAAGUCGAGAACAAGUAACUACUUGUACUGUGAAAGCUGGUCUCUCUGCUCUUGAUUAACU